CUCCGCGGGUCCUGCCGCCCUCCCGCGGUGAGAACGGGGCUCUUCUGUCCCGCCCGCCUUCCCUCCCAAAAAAUCCACGGGUGUUGUGGGCCAUGCUGCUGGCAGAGGCCUCGUGUAGGCCAGAACUCCUCAGGGAAUAGGGGGCCUCUCGGCUGGCCGCGGUGGGAAGCGGGACUGCAGCUUCAUCGGCCGUGGAGGCACGUGGUGAUUGGUGUAAAGAGGCCUCUGCGUGGGAUGAGCCCGGGAUGCACGAGGUAACAAUGGACAUUACAAGUGGGAGCGCAGAUGACAUUUCAAGGCCUGCAUCUAGCUCAAAACCCAAUUGUGGAUCUUUGAAUACAUCUAUAGAGUUACUAACACCAGAGCCACAUUUGCAAAAGGUUGAUUUACUUGUCAGUGUGACUGAUGGUUAUCAGAGAGGCAGUCUAGAAGAUUGCUGUCCAGCAGAAAACAAAAGAGAGAAAUCUGAUGUCCAGGCAGUAAGAACAGAUCAGCAAACCACAGUGGAGAGUACGACCUUCUCUCUUCAGAAAUAUAUACAGAAUCCCAACGAAUUGUCAGGAUAUAGCUCUAAUUCAGAUUGUGAAGACACUGAAACAUGGACUUUGAAAUUCUGUGAACCUUUCCAAGGAGAACCAAGUACUGCAAAAUCAGCAAACUUGAAAUGUUCUGAAGACACAGAUGUAGAUCCUCAGAUUCAAGCAGCUAUAAAGAAAAUGAAUAAACUUGACACAAUACUUGAAAAGCAACAUCUUAAGGAGAAAGCAAUUAAAAAACAAGGCAAAGAAAUGAGGGCAGUGCUCUGGGAAGAACUUCAGUCUAUCAGAACCAGAGGAGGCCACGAGGAGAUAGAAAACACAAACCUUUUUUUAGCUUUGUUCUCACCGUGGCAGGAUACAGCUGAUCCCUCCCAUACUAAAGAAAAUGAAAUAUGUACUUCAGUAGUUCACACACAAAUGAAUCCAGAAGAUUAUGAUUGUCAUCAAGCCCAACGAAGCAAGGAUUAUCCAAGUGAAUUAGAAACAGAAUUAGAAAAAACAGCAGAGAAAACACGUAGCAAAAAUAAAAGCAACAAGGAUUUCAUUAAAAAGAACAUUGAGCUAGCAAAGGAUUCAGAAAACCAGUUUGUAAUGCUUGAGGGAGAAAGGAAAAGGCUAAUUGAACUAUUGAAAGAUACAGAGGAUGGAAUUGAAUUGCAAGGUCUUGAGGAGAAUGUAUCUGUCUGGCUAGCACCAGGAGAAGGGUACACACCUGAACCCACGGAAUUUCAUCUCCUAAAUGAAAUAGACAUUAAGCUUCAAGCACUACUAUCUGAUGGGGAUUUUUCUGCAAUUUCCAGCUCUUUCUCAAAACCUCCAAGCCAGAUUUAUCAGGAGUCUCUGGUUUAUGCCAACAGAAGCCUAGAAGCAGUUCCAGGUGAAAAGGUUCUGCGAGACAAUAAGGAAAAACGUGAUCAACAGAAUCGUCUGAAAGAAAUAGAUCAUAAACUGGAAUCUCUAGAGAGAAAUCUUACUGAAGAACAAAUGAGCCUCUCUGAAGAGCAGCUUAAGACCUUUCUGGAAGAAUGUAUGCAGCCUGAGAGAACAAUAAGUAACGUUACCAUGCCAAAGUCUCAGGAAUCUCUUUCUUUUGGAUUAAGUCCCCCUUCUUACACAAGUCAAGACUCCACUCUUCACUCCACAUCUACUCUUUCCAAAAUGUUAGUUGAAGACCAUAUUGUAGGGAUGUUAAUGGCUCAGGAAAAGGCUGGACUCGAAGACAAAAGCUUAUGUGCAGAGAGCGAAAUCCCUGGCUACUAUAUCAGCAAAGCAUUGGCUGUUAGUCACUUAUCAAAGGAUUCACUGGCCCAAACAGAGGAACUUGAUGACCUAGAAGGUUUACAGAAGAUGGGAGAUGAGAGUAUUACUGAAGGUUACUUUAUGUCAAGAGCACUCAACAGAAAAAGAUUGAAGAAACCUUCUUUCUUGGGUGAACCAUUAUAUUGCAUCAGCAUGAACAAUGAGCCAUGCACAGAGGCUGACAUUCUCAGCAUACCACUGCAAACCAAAGGAGGUGAGACUCUUAACAACCCUUUAGAAUAGGCUUUUGAUUAUAAAGAAAAAAACCUAAGCAGGUUCUCACCAAAGAUAUGCACCAAUACACACUGAUUAUUGUGGUGGGCCAAGGAUGUUCUUUUAUAAAACUGUGCCAAAAAUAAUACACACAAAGUAACAGAAUGUUUAUUAAAAUUCUUGCUCUGACAUAAUUGAGUUUUAUGAAAUACAUCACUGAUGUUGAUUAAUUCUGUCAACUGGAAAACAGUGUUGACAACGCAUAUGGAUUACCUUUUUGGUAGUAGAAAGUCAUGUUCCCUGUUCUGUGGAGAGUAAAUAUUCUCCCAGUAGUUGGUACAAUAAUUCACUGAAAAAUCCAAGUGUUUUGUGCAUGUUUUUAAUAAGGUGAACUCAGUAGUAUAGAAACAAAUAUGACCUAGCUUUAUUAAAAAUACUAAACUGCUUUCAGGGAGUUCAAAUUUACACAUAGAAGAUGUCAAAAAUCAUAAAUACUGCACAAUUUCUAUAAAUUACUUUUAGUUUGGUAAAAGAAAGAAAGAAAGAAUAGACUUUAACCAGCAAAAAAUGAAAACCUCUACUUGGUGUUACAAAAGGAUUGUGGAAAUGUCUGUGGUUUUUAUGUCCUUUACUUAUAUGCAAUUAUAUAGUGAUAUUGUAACUUAAAUCUACAUUUAGAUUUUUAGCCUAAGACUACUUCUCUUCCUGGAAAGCCAGCUGUUCAAAUAAGCCAGAUUUUAGGCAGAUGGUAUGAACAUUGAAAUUUGAGGGGAGAGUGUGUGCUUCUUUGCACAACUGUUUUUCUGAAAGUGUGGUUAAACCUCCCUCAGUGAUAUUAUUCUGAUUCAGUAUGAUUUCGAGCAACCUGAAGGGAAUGAAUUAUCAUAAUUGAAAAUGUUCCAUGAGUUGACUUAUUCUUAAGAGAUAAUUAUUAUUGUCAUUAUCAUAUAUUGUUGCAGUUUGAUUUCAAAAUAAACUCUUGCAUUUCAUUAAA